UGCAAGUCGACAGCGAUGAAAUCUUGACAGAUCCCUUCGGGGUGAAGCAUACAGCAUGGAUUAGCGGCGGACGGGUGAGUAACACGUGAGUAACCUGCCUUAACAUGGGAUAGCCUCGGGAAACCGGGAUUAAUACAAAUAAAAUCAUAGGUGCCCAUGCACUAAUGAUCAAAACUCCGGUGGUCUAAGCAUGGACUCGCGUCCCAUUAGCUAGUUGGUGAGGUAACGGCCCACCAAGGCGACGAUGGGUAGCCGGCCUUGAAGGGUGCAACGGCCACAUUGGAACUGAGAAACGGUCCAAACUACCUACGGGAGGCAGCAGUGGGGAAUAUUGCACAAUGGAGGGAACUCUGAUGCAGCGACGCCGCGUGAACGAUGAAGGCUUCGAGUCGUAAAGUUCUUGUCUAUGGGAAGAUAAUGACGGUACCAUAAGAAAAAGCCCCGGCUACACUACGUGCCAGCAGCCGCAGGUACAUACGUAGGGGGCUAGCGUAAGUCCGGAAUCACUGGGCGUACAGGGUACACGCAGAGCGGACAAUGCAAGUACA
rnacentral:rRNA from 1 species